UACGAACUGCGCAAACGUUGUUCGGAAUCACUGGGCUUAAAGGGCGCGUAGGCGGCUUGUCAAGUCAGGGGUGAAAUCUUUCGGCUCAACCGGAAAAGUGCCCUUGAUACUGACGAGCUCGAGGGAGGUAGGGGUAUGUGGAACUUCUGGUGGAGCGGUGAAAUGCGUUGAUAUCAGAAGGAACGCCGGUGGCGAAAGCGACGUACUGGACCUCUUCUGACGCUGAGGCGCGAAAGCUAGGGGAGCAAACGGG
rnacentral:rRNA from 1 species